rnacentral:rRNA from 1 species
GAUGAACGCUGGCGGCGUGCCUAAUACAUGCAAGUCGAGCGAAUGGAUUAAGAGCUUGCUCUUAUGAAGUUAGCGGCGGACGGGUGAGUAACACGUGGGUAACCUGCCCAUAAGACUGGGAUAACUCCGGGAAACCGGGGCUAAUACCGGAUAACAUUUUGAACCGCAUGGUUCGAAAUUGAAAGGCGGCUUCGGUUGUCACUUAUGGAUGGACCGGCGACGCAUUAGCUAGUUGGUGAGGUAACGGCUAACCAAGGCAACGAUGCGUAGCCGACCGGAGAGGGUGAUCGGCCACACUGGGACUGAGACACGGCCCAGACUCCUACGGGAAGGCAGCAGUAGGGAAUCUUCCGCAAUGGACGUAAGUCUGACGGAGCAACGCCGCGUGAGUGAUGAAGGCUUUCGGGUCGUAAAACUCUGUUGUUAGGGAAGAACAAGUGCUAGUUGAAUAAGCUGGCACCUUGACGGUACCUAACCAGAAAGCCACGGCUAACUACGUGCCAGCAGCCGCCGUAA